GUAUUUUCCAUAGAAAUGAUGGCUCCCAGAAUUAGCAAACACACAAAGAAGAGUUCAGCCCCCACUCAUAGUCCUAAUCACAUGAUGCCACAAUAACGGAGUGCUCGCUGUAUGAGAGGUUUAUUGGGAUAUUCUUCUUUCCUAAGGCUAAAAGCAAACUGCAAAGUAGACAGGUAGUAUAGUUAAAAAACAUAUACCAGUGAGGGCGCCACAGUCACAAACAUAGCUAGCCUGCACUGUUCUGCACUUUAUCCCAUAUACCGCUCUUGUAUACAGUAAAAGCAAACUUCCAAUGUUUUUUACAGAUCGUACGUAGGUGAUGACAUUUGUUAUUGUUCUUUAAAGGAGAAAAUGCAGUGUUUACAUUACAGCCUAGUGUUAACUCCACUGGCCACUCCUCAGAUGGCUGCUAGAGCUGCUUCCCGUGGCAGUGCUGCACAAUGAGCAGCACUACCAUUCAG